AGGAGGGGAGAGAUGGGAUACAAAGUAAUUAUGUGAUAACUGGAAUCGUGAAGGUUAGAUGAAACAUGAGAUCGUUAGAGAGAACAAAUAUAAGAGAUUCAAAAAGGUAUUGAUGAAAGCAAGGGAAGUCAAAAAUACAGAAGGUGAAAACUUAGAAGGUUUGAUUUUUGGAGUUCCUACAUUGAACUAAUGUAUGAGUUGAUGUGACCAGUCUAUAUAUUUCUUCUGUGUUUUACUUUUUUUUUUUACUAUUAUCUUAAGUGCACUAAAUUUUUUUUUCACUGGCUGUUAUUUUUUGCCUGCAUAGAAUUUGACUGUAUUCCUUUUUAUUUGUGUGGAUUGAUUCUUAAUUUUUAAUAUCACUAAAUUAUGUAAAAUUUACAAUGCAAUCACCAUUUAUCGCUAGCAUAUUUUUAAUUAGUGUGAUGUUGAUUAAAAUGAAAUUUUACUAGAUUAAUAUUGCAUUGUUUACUGGAAUUGUUGUAAUAUAUUUUUUGAAAUAUACAGUAAUUUUUAAUAUUAAAUGUUUGUUAACACCGAUAAAAACUUGUUGCACAAUAAAAGUAUAUAUAUAAUAUGCGUCAGAUCAAACAAACACAAAUAAAAAAUUAUACAUAUAUAUAUAUUCAAUAUUUUGAAAGAAAUAAUACAAUGGUAACUUUUAAAUUUGAAAGAAGUUAUGAAACACAAUUCCAAAUAUGGGUGCACAUGAAACCACCAUCGGUUACAGGUACAGCA
rnacentral:lncRNA from 1 species